AGAAUUAUAUACUACGUUCAUUCUUUUCUUCCGACAUCAGCGUUGACUAGUCGACUCCAUUACAAGUGCAUGGCCAAACAUUAAAUUGCUUGAAAAGCUUAAGUAAUCAAGGAGAAUGAGAGCUAAGUGGCGUAAGAAGAGAAUGCGCAGGCUAAAGCGUAAACGCAGGAAGAUGCGUGCACGUUCCAAAUAAGCUAACAAUAUAAAAUGGUGCGCUUCUGAAUGAAGAUAUGCUACUUGUAUUGUUGACUUUAAUAUUAAAUAAAUAAGCUCAUUAAAAACCCAA